CUGACGGACUGACUACGAGAUUAAGUCGGCUGUUGGUGGGGAUACGCACGCAGAUAAGUGAAGCAAUCCUCCGAGGGAGACAGUGACCAACAAGCUCCCCAUCCAACGAGAGCUCACCUCCUCCAGAAAUUUAAACAUUUCCAAAUUUCCACAGAAUUCACAUUUAGAAAAGGAGAGCACAACGCUGCAAGUGAAAAAAGGUUGAAAAUUGUGGCGGAGCCUGAAAAAAGCAGGAUUCGACGAGCGAAAGAUUUUUUACACACGCCUCCUCCAAACUUUAAGAACGAGUCGUUGGCUAACUGACGAUCAGAACGAGACAUUGCAGUUCAACAGGUCAACUGCGCACGCGCACUAGAAAGCGCUCCGCCGACGACACAAAGCGCUCGUCCUCACGAUGGAGAAAAUGUACAAAGGGGAAGGUUAUCAAGAGGCUGGACGACUUCCUCCUCACGCCGUCCAAAAAGCACGUGACGAUAACCACGUGCCCUCCCUUUCAGCGAACAGCAGGUCAUCAAACGCCAAGAAAUCGCCACAACUUAUUGGCAAUAAGAAAAUCUGCCCAAACGUGAAGGAGGCGUUGAGAAAGAAAUUAACAGUUGGUAGAGGUGCCGAUAACCACGUGCACUCGCCGCCAGCCAAAGCCAAGAAAAUCUUCCCAUGCAAAAUCAAAAAAUGCCCGCAUACCUCCACCAACGCAACCAGUGCUCGCCUCCACGCCCGCACCCACCUCACCUCCGACGAACUGGAGAAUAAGGCUUCGUUUUUCCACGCGAGGUGCCCCCACUGACAAAAAAAAGUUAUGUCGUCGCGUCUGUACCGACCACGUGGCUGCGCACGAAGGCCAGAAGAACCACGAAUGCCCCCACUGGAAGAAGAAAUUCAUCCGGAAAGCGCACUUAACUACGCACCACUUCCUCCACGUCGGCUUGAACCGCGAGGAGCGCGCGGCGACCCCCUCAACCCGCAGGACACGACCAAGUCAGAUGUUGGCAAAGAUGUGAAGAUCGUUCACCCCGCGCCCUCCUCCUGCUAAACAACAGCAUAACUGAGCGUCACCUGCUGACGAUGGGUUUUACAUAUAUUUUUACAUUUUCCUCAUGUCACCAUUUCUGACGAGAUUUUUAUUCCGAUAAGCAUGACGUAUGUAUAUAAUUCAAGUUGUUAAUAUGACACGAUUUUUGUUACCGUUUUGACCAUUACGAUUUUUAAUUAUGUAGUAAAGUCAUUCUCUUUUGAUAUAAAAUUCUGAUCACUUCUCGCUCCCAUUUUCCCACCUACAUUAUCUCAUAUUUAAAAAAAUGGAAUAACUCCUCACUAAGGAAAACUAGAAUCGUACAGACAAAUAAAACAAGAAGAAAGGUCAGUUUUUU